AAUAACUAAUAUAUCGAGAGUUGGAAUGAAAAUCGUCAUGUUGAAUUGAAACAACUCCAUUAAUACUCCUACAUGCAUGAUUUGUUAGUAGACAGAUUGUGUAUGAAGCUAGGUGAAGUCGGCUGAACGAGCCUAAGUGAUUUUUAAUCAUAUGGUGUAGGAUAGGUCGGAUGGCUGAAAA
rnacentral:ncRNA from 3 species